rnacentral:rRNA from 2 species
GUUUGAUCCUGGCUCAGGAUGAACGCUGGCGGCGUGCCUAAUACAUGCAAGUCGAGCGAACGGACGAGAAGCUUGCUUCUCUGAUGUUAGCGGCGGACGGGUGAGUAACACGUGGAUAACCUACCUAUAAGACUGGGAUAACUUCGGGAAACCGGAGCUAAUACCGGAUAAUAUUUUGAACCGCAUGGUUCAAAAGUGAAAGACGGUCUUGCUGUCACUUAUAGAUGGAUCCGCGCUGCAUUAGCUAGUUGGUAAGGUAACGGCUUACCAAGGCAACGAUGCAUAGCCGACCUGAGAGGGUGAUCGGCCACACUGGAACUGAGACACGGUCCAGACUCCUACGGGAGGCAGCAGUAGGGAAUCUUCCGCAAUGGGCGAAAGCCUGACGGAGCAACGCCGCGUGAGUGAUGAAGGUCUUCGGAUCGUAAAACUCUGUUAUUAGGGAAGAACAUAUGUGUAAGUAACUGUGCACAUCUUGACGGUACCUAAUCAGAAAGCCACGGCUAACUACGUGCCAGCAGCCGCGGUAAUACGUAGGUGGCAAGCGUUAUCCGGAAUUAUUGGGCGUAAAGCGCGCGUAGGCGGUUUUUUAAGUCUGAUGUGAAAGCCCACGGCUCAACCGUGGAGGGUCAUUGGAAACUGGAAAACUUGAGUGCAGAAGAGGAAAGUGGAAUUCCAUGUGUAGCGGUGAAAUGCGCAGAGAUAUGGAGGAACACCAGUGGCGAAGGCGACUUUCUGGUCUGUAACUGACGCUGAUGUGCGAAAGCGUGGGGAUCAAACAGGAUUAGAUACCCUGGUAGUCCACGCCGUAAACGAUGAGUGCUAAGUGUUAGGGGGUUUCCGCCCCUUAGUGCUGCAGCUAACGCAUUAAGCACUCCGCCUGGGGAGUACGACCGCAAGGUUGAAACUCAAAGGAAUUGACGGGGACCCGCACAAGCGGUGGAGCAUGUGGUUUAAUUCGAAGCAACGCGAAGAACCUUACCAAAUCUUGACAUCCUUUGACAACUCUAGAGAUAGAGCCUUCCCCUUCGGGGGACAAAGUGACAGGUGGUGCAUGGUUGUCGUCAGCUCGUGUCGUGAGAUGUUGGGUUAAGUCCCGCAACGAGCGCAACCCUUAAGCUUAGUUGCCAUCAUUAAGUUGGGCACUCUAAGUUGACUGCCGGUGACAAACCGGAGGAAGGUGGGGAUGACGUCAAAUCAUCAUGCCCCUUAUGAUUUGGGCUACACACGUGCUACAAUGGACAAUACAAAGGGCAGCGAAACCGCGAGGUCAAGCAAAUCCCAUAAAGUUGUUCUCAGUUCGGAUUGUAGUCUGCAACUCGACUACAUGAAGCUGGAAUCGCUAGUAAUCGUAGAUCAGCAUGCUACGGUGAAUACGUUCCCGGGUCUUGUACACACCGCCCGUCACACCACGAGAGUUUGUAACACCCGAAGCCGGUGGAGUAACCUUUUAGGAGCUAGCCGUCGAAGGUGGGACAAAUGAUUGGGGUGAAGUCGUAACAAGGUAGCCGUAUCGGAAGGUGCGGCUGGAUCACCUCCUUU